GCAGCUCCUCGUGCCCUGCAUUGCCAGUCCUCGCACCGUCCGCUGGCUCUCUGGGAGUUUAGUUCACACGGCAGUGCUUCAUCAUCUUCAUUCGCGAACCAAACAGUCAUUCUUGUGCAGUAACAUAAAUUUCAAGAAGAUGGAGAUUGAAUCGAGAUGAGACGAAUUGUAUGUUCAGUGAUGUGGUUGCGUGCAUCACGCGACGUACUUUCUUCAUCUUGCUCAGUCCAGUAACUACCAGCGUCAUGUCCUGCAUCGCUGAGAGUGACGGGAGUCUGUGCCCAAGAUCCCUGGUGUUUGCAGGGAAUGACUUGCCUUGCCCCUGCUGUGACACUUCCCUUCUCUGCUCCAGGGAAACGAUUUGUGGUCCAGAGUAUUAUGCUUCCUUACAAGUGGAAAAAGAUGCAGACACGUGUCCAGUCUCAUUGCACGAAGACGUGCCAAGCAGCGAGUGGCCUGCACGAGCAACAGUGGCGAGCUGUGGUAGGAAGGAGAUGCAGCAGCUGGUCGGAGGCGCCUCGUCAGGUGUUGUGGCACGUUAUUUGUCGGGUAUCACUGAGCCUCCUGAUGACUCCCCUUACGAUCUUUGCUUCACACGUACUAGGUGUCACUCACAGGACGACUUUGAUCUUCUAGACCUUCUAGUCGAUCCCAAACUAGUCGAGCAUCUCGAUGACUGGGACAGUGACUUAGAAGACGCGAUAACUUCCGGAUGUCAGACCCCGGGGCUGUGUGACGCUGAAGAUGAUGGCGACCUUUGGGGUGAGGAAUGUGAAGGAUGGAAGCAAGAGGCGGAGAUCGAAAAUAGCUCUUGCGGGGAUAUGUCUAACACUUUAUGCUCAGACAGCAGUGAUUGCUGCAGUACCACCUCAUGUUCACAACUCUUACACAGAAAAAGACCAAUGUUUUUUGUAGGAGAUGAAGUUGAGAAAAUAGAUUUUCAAGAUGACACUGAGUUUGGAAACAACAGCUCUGGUGGAGAUACAGAGAUAGCGCUGGCCAAUGAUAGGCAGCACCGCAACAAGAGCAGCAGCAUGACCACCGAAAAGUGGAAGGUGAAGCGCUCCUUGUCUGACAUGAGGAAGGAGUCGCGCUCCUCGAUGGGGAUUCCCACGAAGUCUGCCUUAGCUCCUUUUCUCGUGCCCCUGCAGCCCAUCCUGACCGCCCUGCCUCCAGCUGUUGCCAGUGAGGUGGAGGAGCUCCGGAAGUUGUAUCCAGGUAUCUCAGAAGACUACCUCAAAACUCUUUGUGAAUUUGGGUUGCUGGAGGAAGUGACAUACUCGGAAUCCUCAUCGCCUACCUCUACUUUGUCUCGCGGGCGAGGCGUCUCCCUCAGUGGAUCUUAUGCCGGGCGGAAGCCGUCACAGUCGUACUCAGACACAACUGAAGACCAGCUUUCUGAAAGUAGCAUCCCUGACGAUGGUGCUUGUCAGCCCGAGUACCGCCCCACUCCCUCGGUUCGCGGUCUCUUCCUUACCGCCUCCCUCGUCUCAAUGGCUACCACAUUCACUGCCCCACGAGAGAGAAAAAGGAAUAUUAUUUGCAUCUCCAGCCGAAGCUCUGAGGGUUCGGCUGAUUCGAACUACUCGCAGCCGUCUUCGGACCUGUCGUUGGACGAGGAGAGAGAGAACCUCAGACGUGAGACAGAAAGACAGGCACUUUCGCAACUGGAGAAGGCAAGGAGUUCUCGCCGCGGGGCUGGUGGGUUCAGGCGCAGGACAGAGGGUCAGGCUCUCGUCACGCUGCAGAAGGCCCUGACCAAGCCUGUAGCGUUCUCGGUGCGGACCAACGUAGCUUAUGAUGGCUCUCUGGACGACGACUCACCAGUUCACGGCUCCGCCAUCUCCUUCGACGUCAAGGACUUCCUUCACAUUAAGGAGAAGUACGACAAUAACUGGUGGAUCGGGCGCCUAGUAAAGGAGGGUGCGGACGUCGGGUUCAUCCCCUCCCCCGUCAAGUUGGAGAAUCUGCGAAUCCAGCAGAAGAGCUGCAAGCUGCACUCCAAAACUUCCUCCUCGGGUAACCUGGGAAUGAUAAAUGAUGUUCUAUCCAAUAGCAAGAGCUCUAACUCCCGAGGCUCUACUCCCCCUACCCCCGGACUUGAUCUCGACAACGGUAUAGACUCCAACCUGGGGGAAGACUCCGAUUCCUUGGGCAACUCCAAGGGGAAAACUUCCAUCACCACCCCUCCGGCGAAAGGAAAAAAGAAUCCUUUCUUUAAGAAACAGGAGAAUAUUCCUCCUUACGAUGUCGUGCCUUCCAUGCGCCCGCUUGUGCUCGUCGGCCCCUCCCUAAAAGGGUACGAGGUCACGGACAUGAUGCAGAAGGCGCUUUUUGAUUACAUUAAGCACAAGUUUGAGGGAAGGGUGAUCAUCACGAGGGUGAGCGCCGAUAUCUCUCUGGCCAAAAGGAGUCUUCUCAACAACCCCAGUAAAAGAGCCCUUAUGGAACGCUCAAACUCCAGGUCUUCUUGUAUAGCCGAAGUUCAGGCAGAGAUUGAGCGGAUAUUCGAGUUGGCCAGAACCUUGCAGCUGGUGGUGUUGGACUGUGACACCAUCAACCACCCGUCGCAGCUGGCCAAGACCUCUUUAGCGCCUAUCCUCGUGUACCUCAAGAUCUCAUCUCCUAAGGUAUUGCAGCGUCUAAUAAAAUCCCGGGGCAAGUCUCAAAGUCGUAACCUCAACGUGCAGAUGGUUGCCGCUGAGAAGUUGGCGCAGUGUCCACCUGAGAUGUUCGAUGUCAUCCUUGACGAGAACCAGCUGGAGGACGCGUGUGAACACAUAGCGGAGUACUUGGAGGCGUACUGGCAAGCAACGCACCCGCCCCUACCUCCGCCACAAAUCCAGCGACCCCUCCCAUCUCCCCACACCAGCCCUCGCUCUAACCACGCGCAGGGAAAUCUCAUGCGGACCAACUCAACGCCGCCAGGUCCUCCCGGGUCCGUGGCUCGUGAGCCCGGCUACCCUCGCUAUGCGGAUGAGAGAGGUAAUGCCCCAGGCAACACCCUACCCCAGUAGUUAGUGUGGCACUUCUGGCGUGGUCACUGCGGCUGUAAUGGCUGAGUGGCCAGCCAGUGGUCACCUGCUGCAGCAGCACUACACCAGCUGUGUACCAUCGAGGGGGUCCCACGGGACAUGGCGGCCGAACUCUUCCCUCCCGUGACCCUCGGGAUAUGAGAGAUCCCAGAGAUAGGGACUUACGGGAUGAUGAGUAUGGUGAAAGGCUUCCUCCCCAGGAUCCUGGGCA
rnacentral:misc_RNA from 1 species